CCAUCUACUCCUGAAAAAUGGGAAGAAGGGGUUUUAGAACUUCCUUCUCCUUCCUUGCUGUCUCCAUUACUGAGGAAAUCGAACUAAAAUAUCAAAAAGAUAUGCAUAAACGAUCACAGAUUUCUCUCUUCAAGUUGCUUUUGAGACACCCUUUUCAAAGUUCUCCAAAACCCAUAUUUCCAUUUUCCCUCAAAUCACAAGCACCGUCAACUCUGACUCCGCAAUUUCCCAACUCACUCGCGCGUAAAAUUCUUUACUUCUCCACAAACCCACGUCACCAAGACCUCCAUUCUUGUUAUCCAACUUGCAACGCUCUCAGGAAUCACAGUACUGAGUCAGGAGGUGGCCCGGUUCCCGAGUUGGAUGUUAAUAAAGAAGUGGAUAUGAUAAACCUUAAGUUUGCAGAAGCAAGAGAGGAGAUAGAGAUGGCAAUGGAAUCCAAAGAGACUGUUUAUUUCAAUGAAGAGGCUGAAUGUGCACGUGCUGCUGUUAAAGAAGUUUUCGACAUGUUUGAUGGGUUAUUGGGUAAGCUUCCGGAUAGUGAAAGGGCGGCUUUUCGAAGGUCAAUGGGGCUUAAAAUUGAGCAGUUGAAGGCUGAGCUUCAGCAGUUGGAUGAUUGAUUGAUGAGGUACCGAAAAUAAUAUCCUCCUUUGGUCCCAACUAUUGAAGAUAAACUAUUGAUUGCACAUCCAAUGGCAAUCAAGUGAAAUGGAGAAUCUAGAGUACUGAUAGAAAUUCAUUUGACAAAAGAGAUCAUGAUGUGAUGGCCAGGGGAAAGAAAAGGUUCAGAAACAAAUUUUUCCUUUUAAAGGAAAGGAUAUAUAACAAGAGAGAAUGAAAAAGAAGGCCAAUGAGGGGAACAUUGGCAAAUGGAAUAAUGAGGCUUUUUGGGACAAGCUGAGUGGAGUCACAGAGAAAUCCACUAGGAAACUGGACUCACAAACUUAGCGUCUCCUUUUAAAGUAUUUCAUUUGUAGAUUAUUUUUGUUUGAUCUUUUUCUGCUUGAACGAGCAGGAAUUGUGCAACUUGUAAGGCACUGCCUUUUAGGUUCAAGUAGUGAAACUAGAAUUGAACCCCAGAUGAUCUAUUACUUGUUCUUUUUUACGUAGUAAAAAUUCAUAAAUCCAGAGUUGUAUUAAGAUUUUAACCAUUGCAUUACAAGCCAAGACUUUACUAUCGGCCUUCUGGCUGAUUGAGACAAAUCUAAUUCUUUUUGCGUU